AACAUGAACCAAGAAGCCUCUAGCUCGAAUCCGGGCCCUUGGGCUUCUCCAAUGGAUAGUUUUAAAGGGAGAGAGAGUGGCACACACAUGAUUCCAGAUGAUAGGGUUUUUGAUAUGUUUGGAUACAACAAUGCGGCCUUUGGACGGCCUAAUGCUGAAUACUUGGAUUAUGAAUCUCAUAGAGGAAUGAAUAUUUUGUAGCAAGGAAACCAUGUAAUUGUAUUUUUUUUUGUAUAUGGUAACUAUAUAAAUGGCAUGAAGAUGCCUUCAUUUCUUCUCUUUAGCCAAAUACUUUGAUCACAGAAACAUGAAGAACAGGAGAUCAUUCACUAGCAGUACAUGAAGUCCUUAAGGGGUAUUCGGGUAGGUAAUCUUUCAAAUUUUGGACGUGAAGAGUCUCUUGUUAGGGAUGACAAAUGAGCAGUGUGGGGGCGGUGCGGUGUGGAUUUAAGACUUUGCAGUGCAGGGCGGUUUUAAGCCAUUCUCUUAAAAAGGGCCUUUGGACAUCCUAAUGCCGAAUACUUGGAUUAUGAAUCUCACAGAGGAAUGAAUAUUUUGUAGCGAGGAAACCAUGUAAUUUUAUUAUUUUUGUAUAUGGUACUAUAUAAAUGGCAUGAAGAUGCCUUCAUUUCUUCUCUUUAGCCAAAUACUUUGAUCACAGAAACAUGAAGAACAGGAGAUCAUUCAUCGGCUUAAGGGUUACUCGGGUAGCUAAUCUUUCAAAAUUUAGACGUGAAGAGUCGGUGGUUAGGAAUGGCAAAUGGGCUGGGCGGGGCGGUGCGGUGCAGGUUUAAGGCUAUGUGGGCCGGUGCGGGUUUAAGACUUUGCAGGGUGGGUGCAGAGCGGUUUUAAGCCAUUCUCUUAAAAACUUAUGCGGGGUGGGUUGCGGGUUUAGACAAGCUUUUUUUUAAUCUUCUUUUUUAAGUCAUAUCAAGCGUUAAUUAUCUUUGGUAUCUAUCCCAUAUGUCAUUUUAAACUUCUUCAUAUUUA
rnacentral:lncRNA from 1 species